CGACACAGGUUCGUAGGUAGAGUAUACUAAGGCGUAGAGCUAAAAGUUGUUAAGGAACUCGGCAAAUUAUCCUCUAAAGUUCGACGACAAGAGGAACCAUUUUUAAGAAAUUAAUAACUCCAUUGAAUUUUAUUAAUCUCUUUUGUGGUGGCACAAAAUCGGAAGCCCCGACUGUUUACUAAAAACACAGCUAUCUGCAACGAUGUAAAUCAUAGUAUAGGUAGUGAGGUUUGCCCGAUGCCAUUAAUAUAAGAGAAGUGAUGGGUAACUGUUAAUUAUCGAAAAUCUGGUUAAUAGCGGUCUUAACUAUGAGGAUCCUAAGGUAGCAAAAUAAAUUGGCCAUUAAAUGUGGUCCGGUAUCAAUAAUUUAACGAUGGCUUCACUGUCUCUACAACUUGCUCAGUGAAAUUGAAUUACCCGUGCAGAUGCGGGUUGCCACCAGGGGGACGGGAAGACCCUAUGCAGCUUCUACUGUAGUUAAUCAUCAUAUUAAUCUAGAACAACUUUAGUCAAUAGCAAAUAGGUAUGUCGAUAGACAAAAAUUGGAAGACCUUAAGUCUAGGGUUGGGUUAAUGUUUACCUUUUUAUAAGCAAAAUUAUAGAAUGGGAGAGCUGAUUGAUUGGCAGUUUGACUGGGGCGGUCGUCUUUAAUAGAGUAGCAAAGUACAUCCAAAUAUAAAAUUAAUAAAAAAUAUUUACUAUUAAAUAAUAUUAAUGUGUAAAUAUUCUCACAAAUAUCAUAUUGCUGUAAAUUUUUUAUUUACUUUAACAUCAAUUAUUAUUUUUUGUUUUUAUAAGGUAUAGCUAGAAAUUGAAUGGAGAUCAAUUAACCAGUGAUAAGGUUAUGGAGGGCGCAAUGGCGGUAAGCAUGCUUAACUGAUAGACUUAAAAGUCGCACAGAUACGUAAGUAGGGCAUAGUGACCCCUCGCUAUAUAAUGGAAUAGACGGGGAUCAAUUGAUAAAAGUUACGCUAGGGAUAACAGGCUGAUAGCCGGCGAGAGUACACAUUGUCCCGGCUGUUUGGCACCUUCGAU
rnacentral:rRNA from 1 species